UUCUCAGUUCAUUUCAUCACCUCCAGAAAAUGGCUUCGGCUUUGUCAAAGUAGUUAAGUCAAGUCCAUUGCAUCUAUAAAUUGCUCGACUCUUAAGCAUCUUCAAGCCCGGAAAACAAACAAGGUUGAGACUUGAGAGGGGGCCGUAGUGGGUUCAGACUUCAGAGUUGAGAGAAUUACAAAUAUUGUUUCUGAUCGUGGGUUUAUGAUAUAUUCCAUCUCUUGCACACUGGAGCAGCUUUCUGGCCACGGGCCGGUGUGCAGAGGAUGGAACACAUCAUGAAUUCAUGCCUUCUUCUUGCAACUGAGCUGAGGUAGCAUCAUCAAUGGCGGUUGUCCAUGAAAGUUCCACUGUCAGGACUCAGGACUUUCCUUGUUCAAAGGGAGACGUGAGUUUUCGUUGGUGGGUAGGUAAUGAAGUAAGCUGCCCCAUUUGAGACUUGAGAUGGAGUGGUUGUCAUCAUCAAAUGAAACUGAAAGAAGCUUUAAAAUAUGCAUGAAAAUGGAUACAUAAAUUCCGUCCAGGCAAUCAGUGAUGAAAAAAGAAACGUUUAGUCCCUUUCUCUUCUUCUCCGACUCUACUACUACCCUACUCAAUGUCACUGAAAAUCAGAAGUAUUUUCAUGCUUAAUUUGUUUUGUCAUUCCAGAGUUUGGUUACCCACAGUCUUAUAGCUAAGCAUUUUGAUGAUAAACAGCCGAACAGUCCAGAUCUGCUAGAGAAACAAGAUUGUAAAUUUGUAAUACGGGCUAAUAACAUAGCCAUAAGAUUGUAAAUUUGUAAUACGGGCUAAUAACAAGAUUGUAAAUUAGAGUCCAA